CCUACGGGUGGCAGCAGUGGGGAAUAUUGCACAAUGGGGGUAACCCUGAUGCAGCGACGCCGCGUGAGUGAAGAAGUCUCUCGGUAUGUAAAGCUCUAUCAGCAGGGGAGAAAAUGACGGUACCUGAUUAAGAAGCCACGGCUAACUACGUGCCAGCAGCCGCGGUAAUACGUAGGGGGCAAGCGGUAUCCCGAUUUACUGGGUGUAAAGGGAGCGUAGACGGGAGCACAAGUCUGGAGGGAAAUGCCGGGGCUUAACCCCGGAACGGCUUUUGAAACUGUGCAGCUAGAGUGCAGGAGAGGUAAGUGGAAUUCCUGGUGUAGCGGUGAAAUGCGUAGAUAUUAGGAGGAACACCAGUUGCGAAGGCGGCUUACUGGACUGUAACUGACGUUGAGGCUCGAAAGCGUGGGGAGCAAACAGGAUUAGAUACCCCGGUAGUC
rnacentral:rRNA from 1 species